rnacentral:lncRNA from 1 species
UCUCCUCUAAAACCAUCAGAGCUAUUGGAGAGAAAUUACACUUCCAAGUAAUUGGGAACUCCUUUAAUUUGGCUAUUCUUGUCAUCAUCUUCACUCUUAUUUCUUCAAGAAUAGUAAUGAUGGUCUUGUGUCUAGCAGCCAAGAUCCAUGCAUUAAAACACUCAGACAUGUUGUUGUCUACAGAGUCACACUUUACUUCAGUAUUGAAGUAAACUUUGCACCAAAAAUUAAUGUUGUAGUACAUUAAGUUAUCCAUCAUUUUUCUGGACCUAACAACUUUAUCUUCUCUAUAUUGUUCCUUAAUUGAGACUCAAAUGUACUCUUAGC